GAAUGGGAGCUGGUGGUGUUGGGGAAGUUGAAGUGGAACCUCGCAGCCGUCACCCCGCACGAUUUCAUUGAACACAUCCUAAGGAAGCUGCCUCUACCUAAAGACAAGUUGCUUUUGAUCCGGAAGCAUGCACAAACGUUCAUUGCCCUUUGUGCCACAGAUUUUAACUUUGCCAUGUACCCACCAUCAAUGAUAGCAACUGGAAGUGUGGGAGCAGCCAUCUGUGGCCUUCAGCUCGAUGACGGAGACAGCCUCACGGACCUCCUGGCCAAGAUCACAAACACAGAUGUG